rnacentral:rRNA from 1 species
UACGUAGGGGCCGAGCGUUGUCCGGAGUUACUGGGCGUAAAGCGUGCGCAGGCGGCGCGUUCUGCCCGGCGUGAAAGCCCCCGGCUCAACCGGGGAGAGUCGUCGGGGACGGGCGCGCUUGAGGGUAUCAGGGGCUGGUGGAAUUCCCGGUGUAGUGGUGAAAUGCGUAGAGAUCGGGAGGAACACCUGUGGCGAAGGCGGCCAGCUGGGAUACACCUGACGCUGAGGCACGAAGGCGUGGGGAGCGAACGGGAUUAGAUACCCGCGUAGUCCCUGAGCGGGCU